rnacentral:rRNA from 1 species
CGCACGGGUGAGUAACACGUAUCCAACCUGCCGUCUACUCUUGGACAGCCUUCUGAAAGGAAAAUUAAAUACAAGAUGGCAUCAUGAGUCCGCAUGUUCACAUGAUUAAAGGUAUUCCGGUAGACGAUGGGGAUGCGUUCCAUUAGAUAGUAGGCGGGGUAACGGCCCACCUAGUCUUCGAUGGAUAGGGGUUCUGAGAGGAAGGUCCCCCACAUUGGAACUGAGACACGGUCCAA